rnacentral:tRNA from 1 species
GGAGGGGUCGCAUAGUGGUCUAGUGCGCCAUCUUGGAAAGGUGGUGUAGGGGCAACUCUACCGAGGGUUCGAAUCCCUCUCCCUCCGCCA